GAUGAACGCUAGCUACAGGCUUAACACAUGCAAGUCGAGGGGUAACGAGAGGAAAGCUUGCUUUCCUUGUCGACGACCGGCGCACGGGUGAGUAACGCGUAUCCAACCUGCCCCCAACUAGGGAAUAACCUUGCGAAAGUAAGACUAAUACCCUAUAAUUUCCUCAGAUGUCAUCUGACGAGGAAUAAAGAUUUAUCGGUUGUGGAUGGGGAUGCGUCUGAUUAGCUUGUUGGCGGGGUAACGGCCCACCAAGGCAACGAUCAGUAGGGGUUCUGAGAGGAAGGUCCCCCACAUUGGAACUGAGACACGGUCCAAACUCCUACGGGAGGCAGCAGUGAGGAAUAUUGGUCAAUGGGCGGAAGCCUGAACCAGCCAAGUAGCGUGCAGGAUGACGGCCCUAUGGGUUGUAAACUGCUUUUAUACAGGAAUAAAGUUAGCCACGUGUGGUUAUUUGUAGGUACUGUAUGAGUAAGGACCGGCUAAUUCCGUGCAGCCGCCGCUGUAA
rnacentral:rRNA from 1 species